rnacentral:rRNA from 1 species
GACGAACGCUGGCGGCGUGCUUAACACAUGCAAGUCGAACGGAAAGGCCCUGCUUUUGUGGGGUGCUCGAGUGGCGAACGGGUGAGUAACACGUGAGUAACCUGCCCUUGACUUUGGGAUAACUUCAGGAAACUGGGGCUAAUACCGGAUAGGAGCUCCUGCUGCAUGGUGGGGGUUGGAAAGUUUCGGCGGUUGGGGAUGGACUCGCGGCUUAUCAGCUUGUUGGUGGGGUAGUGGCUUACCAAGGCUUUGACGGGUAGCCGGCCUGAGAGGGUUACCGGCCACAUUGCGACUGAGAUACGGCCCAGUCUCCUACGGGAGGCAGCAGUGGGGAAUAUUGCACAAUGGGCGGAAGCCUGAUGCAGCAGCGCCGCGUGCGGGAUGACGGCCUUCGGGUUGUAAACCGCUUUCGCCUGUGACGAAGCGUGAGUGACGGUAAUGGGUAAAGAAGCACCGGCUAACUACGUG